rnacentral:rRNA from 1 species
UUAUGGCUCAGAACGAACGCUGGUAGCGUGGAUUAGGCAUGCAAGUCGAACGGGAUCCGGAAGGCAGCAAUGGUCGGCCGGUGAGAGUGGCGGAAGGGCGAGGAACACGUGGGCAACCUGUCUUGAGGUGGGGAAAACCUCGGGAAACUGAGGCUAAUACCGAAUGUGGCGCGGAAGGGCAUCCUUCCUGCGCUAAAGGGGGCGAAAGCUCCCCCUCUUCGAGGGGCUCGCGCACCAUCAGCUAGUUGGCGGGGUAACGGCCCACCAAGGCUCGACGGUUAGCUGGUCUGAGAGGAUGGCCAGCCGCACUGGGACUGAGAUACUGCCCAGACUCCUACGGGAGGCUGCAGUCGAGGAUCAUUCGCAAUGGGCGAAAGCCUGACGAUGCGACGCUGCGUGGAGGAAUGAAGGCCUUCGGGUUGUAAACUCCUGUCAUGAGGGAAAAGGAGACCCUGCCCAAUACGUAGGGGAUUUGAUGGUACCUCAAGAGGAAGGGACGGCUAACUCUGUGCCAGCCGCAGC